rnacentral:rRNA from 1 species
CCCCGGUUACNAUUCCCCUUGAGUUUGAUAUGGCUCAGGAUGAACGCUAGCGGCAGGCAUAAUACAUGCAAGUUGAACGGGAUUCCCGGUAGCAAUACUGGGAUGAGAGUAGCGCACGGGUGCGUAACACGUAUGCAACCUACCCAUAACUGGGGAAUAGCCCCUCGAAAGAGGGAUUAAUACUCCAUAAUAUAGAGUUAAGGCAUCUUAGUUCUAUUAAAGCUCCGGCGGUUACGGAUGGGCAUGCGGCUGAUUAGCUAGUUGGUGAGGUAAUGGCUCACCAAGGCUACGAUCAGUAGGGGGUCUGAGAGGAUGUCCCCCCACACUGGUACUGAGACACGGACCAGACUCCUACGGGAGGCAGCAGUAGGGAAUAUUGGUCAAUGGGGGCAACCCUGAAUCAGCCAUGCCGCGUGCAGGAUGACUGCCCUAUGGGUUGUAAACUGCUUUUGUACGGGAAGAAACCCUCGUUUGCGAACGAGGUUGACGGUACUGUAAGAAUAAGGAUCGGCUAACUUCGUGCCAGCAGCCGCGGUAAUACGAAGGAUCCUAGCGUUGUCCGGAUUUACUGGGUUUAAAGGGUGCGUAGGCGGAUAAUUAAGUCAGUGGUGAAAGCCGGCAGCUCAACUGUCGAAUUGCCAUUGAAACUGAUUGUCUCGAGUAUGGUUGAGGUGGUUGGAAUGUUGCAUGUAGCGGUGAAAUGCUUAGAUAUGCAACAGAACACCGAUUGCGAAGGCAGACCACUAAGCCAUACUGACGCUGAAGCACAAAGCGUGGGGAUCAACANGAUUAA